rnacentral:rRNA from 1 species
UACGUAGGGACCAAGCGUUGUUCGGAUUUACUGGGCGUAAAGGGCGCGUAGGCGGCGAAUCAAGUCAGCUGUGAAAUCUCCGAGCUUAACUCGGAACGGUCAGCUGAUACUGUUUUGCUAGAGUGCAGAAAGGGCAACCGGAAUUCUUGGUGUAGCGGUGAAAUGCGUAGAUAUCAAGAGGAACACCUGAGGCGAAGGCGGGUUGCUGGGCUGACACUGACGCUGAUGCGCGAAAGCCAGGGGAGCGAACGGG